rnacentral:rRNA from 1 species
GGGUUGUGAGGUUAAGCGACUAAGCGUACACGGUGGAUGCCCUGGCAGUCAGAGGCGAUGAAGGACGUGCUAAUCUGCGAAAAGCGACGGCGAGGUGAUAUGAACCUUUGACCCGUCGAUGUCCGAAUGGGGAAACCCAGUGUGUUCCGACACACUAUCGUUAACUGAAUACAUAGGUUAACGAGGCGAACCGGGGGAACUGAAACAUCUAAGUACCCCGAGGAAAAGAAAUCAACCGAGAUUCCCCCAGUAGCGGCGAGCGAACGGGGAGCAGCCCGGAGUCUGAAUCAGCUUGUGUGUUAGUGGAACGGUCUGGAAAGUCCGACGGUACAGGGUGAUAGUCCCGUACACGAAAAUGCACAGGUUGUGAACUCGAAGAGUAGGGCGGGACACGUGGUAUCCUGUCUGAAUAUGGGGGGACCAUCCUCCAAGGCUAAAUACUCCUGACUGACCGAUAGUGAACCAGUACCGUGAGGGAAAGGCGAAAAGAACCCCGGCGAGGGGAGUGAAAAAGAACCUGAAACCGUGUACGUACAAGCAGUGGGAGCACCUUCGGGUGUGACUGCGUACCUUUUGUAUAAUGGGUCAGCGACUUAUAUUCUGUAGCAAGGUUAACCGUAUAGGGGAGCCGAAGGGAAACCGAGUCUUAACUGGGCGUUAAGUUGCAGGGUAUAGACCCGAAACCCGGUGAUCUAGCCAUGGGCAGGUUGAAGGUUGGGUAACACUAACUGGAGGACCGAACCGACUAAUGUUGAAAAAUUAGCGGAUGACCUGUGGCUGGGGGUGAAAGGCCAAUCAAACCGGGAGAUAGCUGGUUCUCCCCGAAAGCUAUUUAGGUAGCGCCUCGUGAACUCAUCUUCGGGGGUAGAGCACUGUUUCGGCUAGGGGGCCAUCCCGGCUUACCAACCCGAUGCAAACUACGAAUACCGAAGAAUGUUAUCACGGGAGACACACGGCGGGUGCUAACGUCCGUCGUGAAGAGGGAAACAACCCAGACCGCCAGCUAAGGUCCCAAAGUCAUGGUUAAGUGGGAAACGAUGUGGGAAGGCACAGACAGCCAGGAUGUUGGCUUAGAAGCAGCCAUCAUUUAAAGAAAGCGUAAUAGCUCACUGGUCGAGUCGGCCUGCGCGGAAGAUGUAACGGGGCUAAACCAUGCACCGAAGCUGCGGCAGCGACACUAUGUGUUGUUGGGUAGGGGAGCGUUCUGUAAGCCGUUGAAGGUGUGCUGUGAGGCAUGCUGGAGGUAUCAGAAGUGCGAAUGCUGACAUAAGUAACGAUAAAGCGGGUGAAAAGCCCGCUCGCCGGAAGACCAAGGGUUCCUGUCCAACGUUAAUCGGGGCAGGGUGAGUCGACCCCUAAGGCGAGGCCGAAAGGCGUAGUCGAUGGGAAACAGGUUAAUAUUCCUGUACUUGGUGUUACUGCGAAGGGGGGACGGAGAAGGCUAUGUCAGCCGGGCGACGGUUGUCCCGGUUUAAGCAUGUAGGCGGAGGUUCCAGGUAAAUCCGGUACCUUUUAACGCUGAGGUGUGAUGACGAGGCACUACGGUGCUGAAGUGAUAAAUGCCCUGCUUCCAGGAAAAGCCUCUAAGCAUCAGGUAACACGAAAUCGUACCCCAAACCGACACAGGUGGUCAGGUAGAGAAUACCAAGGCGCUUGAGAGAACUCGGGUGAAGGAACUAGGCAAAAUGGUGCCGUAACUUCGGGAGAAGGCACGCUGAUAGGUAGGUGAAGCCCCUGCGGGCGGAGCUGAAAUCAGUCGAAGAUACCAGCUGGCUGCAACUGUUUAUUAAAAACACAGCACUGUGCAAACACGAAAGUGGACGUAUACGGUGUGACGCCUGCCCGGUGCCGGAAGGUUAAUUGAUGGGGUUAGCGGCAACGCGAAGCUCUUGAUCGAAGCCCCGGUAAACGGCGGCCGUAACUAUAACGGUCCUAAGGUAGCGAAAUUCCUUGUCGGGUAAGUUCCGACCUGCACGAAUGGCGUAAUGAUGGCCAGGCUGUCUCCACCCGAGACUCAGUGAAAUUGAACUCGCUGUGAAGAUGCAGUGUACCCGCGGCAAGACGGAAAGACCCCGUGAACCUUUACUAUAGCUUGACACUGAACACUGGUCCUUGAUGUGUAGGAUAGGUGGGAGGCUUUGAAGCGUGGACGCCAGUCUGCGUGGAGCCAUCCUUGAAAUACCACCCUUUAAUGGCUGGUGUUCUAACGUAGACCCGUGAUCCGGGUUGCGGACAGUGUCUGGUGGGUAGUUUGACUGGGGCGGUCUCCUCCCAAAGAGUAACGGAGGAGCACGAAGGUUGGCUAAUCCUGGUCGGACAUCAGGAGGUUAGUGCAAUGGCAUAAGCCAGCUUGACUGCGAGCGUGACGGCGCGAGCAGGUGCGAAAGCAGGUCAUAGUGAUCCGGUGGUUCUGAAUGGAAGGGCCAUCGCUCAACGGAUAAAAGGUACUCCGGGGAUAACAGGCUGAUACCGCCCAAGAGUUCAUAUCGACGGCGGUGUUUGGCACCUCGAUGUCGGCUCAUCACAUCCUGGGGCUGAAGUAGGUCCCAAGGGUAUGGCUGUUCGCCAUUUAAAGUGGUACGCGAGCUGGGUUUAGAACGUCGUGAGACAGUUCGGUCCCUAUCUGCCGUGGGCGCUGGAGAAUUGAGGGGGGCUGCUCCUAGUACGAGAGGACCGGAGUGGACGCAUCACUGGUGUUCGGGUUGUCAUGCCAAUGGCACUGCCCGGUAGCUAAAUGCGGAAGAGAUAAGUGCUGAAAGCAUCUAAGCACGAAACUUGCCCCGAGAUGAGUUCUCCCUGAGACUUUAAGUCUCCUGAAGGAACGUUGAAGACGACGACGUUGAUAGGUCGGGUGUGUAAGCGCAGCGAUGCGUUGAGCUAACCGAUACUAAUGAACCGUGAGGCUUAACCUUACAACGCCGAAGGUGUUU